AUGCCAUGAUUAAAGUAGAGUCUGACCUGGUAUUGCAAUUCUUCAGUGUUGUCUUGGACUAGGAUAGAUUCGCUUAAUCUUCUCUCUGAGCUG